AGAUCGUGGUCGAUGGCGUGGGCGGUGAAACCGUUGUGUCCGGUCAUCGUGGUGGCGGCGACCAUCGCGUUGACGAUCGCCUCCUCGGUGGCCUC
rnacentral:tRNA from 2 species